AGCAGCCGCCGCGGGAAUACGGAGGGGGCUAGCGUUGUUCGGAAUUACUGGGCGUAAAGCGCACGUAGGCGGCUUGUAAGUUAGAGGUGAAAGCCCGGAGCUCAACUCCGGAAUUGCCUUUAAGACUGCCGAGCUAGUAGGUGAGAGAGGUAAGUGGUAUUCCGAGUGUAGAGGUGAAAUUCGUAGAUAUUCGGAAGAACACCAGUGGCGAAGGCGGCUUACUGGCUCAUUCUAGACGCUGAGGUGCGAAAGCGUGGGGAGCAAACAGGAUUAGAUACCCCCGUAGUCCCUGUCUCUUAUACA
rnacentral:rRNA from 1 species